rnacentral:rRNA from 1 species
UACGUAGGGGGCAAGCGUUGUCCGGAAUCAUUGGGCGUAAAGCGCGUGUAGGCGGUCCGGUAAGUCCGCCGUGAAAGUCGGGGGCUCAACCCUCGAAUGCCGGUGGAUACUGUCGGGCUAGAGUGCGGAAGAGGCGAGUGGAAUUCCUGGUGUAGCGGUGAAAUGCGCAGAUAUCAGGAGGAACACCAAUUGCGAAGGCAGCUCGCUGGGACGUUACUGACGCUGAGACGCGAAAGCGUGGGGAGCAAACAGG